rnacentral:rRNA from 1 species
UACGUAGGGACCAAGCGUUGUUCGGAUUUACUGGGCGUAAAGGAGCGCGUGAGCGGCCGUGUUAAGUCAGCUGUGAAAUCUCCAAGCUUAACUUGGAACGGUCAGCUGAUACUGAUGUGCUAGAGUGCAGAAGGGGCAAUCGGAAUUCUUGGUGUAGCGGUGAAAUGCGUAGAUAUCAAGAGGAACACCUGAGGUGAAGACGGGUUGCUGGGCUGACACUGACGCUGAGGCGCGAAAGCUAGGGUAGCAAACGGG